ACUCCCCCAGAGUGCCCACCCAGAAUUCUGUCUGCAGACGCUCUUGUCCUUGCUCUCACUGCCCUGAUAAUGCGAGUGAUGAUUUCCUGAAACACUAUCUUCUGCUGAGAAGGAAUUCCAGGAACACUUUUGCUUUGAUCCUGAUACUGCAAAAAUGAUCUUCAGAACUGGGAAUUUAAUCAUUAUGAGUAGUUCCAGAUUUGUAGCACUGGAAAAGGAAGACUUCAGCUUUCUGGAAGGUCUUCUGACAUCACCAGCUAG
rnacentral:lncRNA from 1 species